GGUCAAGUUAUUAAGGGUGCAGGGCGGAUGCCUUGGCACUAGGAGCCGAUGAAGGACGUGAUAAGCUGCGAUAAGCUUCGGGGAGUUGCACGUAAACUUUGAUCCGAAGAUUUCCGAAUGAGGAAACUCACUUAGAGUAAUGUCUAAGUAUCAUUAAGUGAAUACAUAGCUUAAUGAGGGGAACUCAGGGAACUGAAACAUCUAAGUACCUGAAGGAAGAGAAAGAAAUUCGAUUCCGUAAGUAGCGGCGAGCGAACGCGGAUUAGCCCAAACCAAUAAAGUUUUCUUUAUUGGGGUUGCGGACAUAUCAUAACGAAGAGGUAUCGUAAUUGAAGAGGUUUGGAAAGACCCACCACAGAAGGUAAUAGUCCUGUAUGUUAAACGAGAAGACUUCAGAUAUGAUCCAGAGUACCACGGGACACGUGAAACCCUGUGGGAAGCAGGAGGGACCACCCUCCAAGGCUAAAUACUACCUAGUGACCGAUAGCGUAUAGUACCGUGAGGGAAAGGUGAAAAGAACCCCGGGAGGGGAGUGAAAUAGAACCUGAAACCCUGCACUUACAAGCUGUGGAAGCACAUUUCUUGUGUGACCGCGUACUUUUUGUAGAACGGGCCAACGAGUUACGUUAAGUAGCAAGGUUAAGCACUUAAGGUGUGGAGCCGUAGCGAAAGCGAGUUUUAACUGAGCGUUCAGUUACUUGACGUAGACCCGAAACCGGGCGACCUACCCAUGAGCAGGAUGAAGCGAAAGUAAAAUUUCGUGGAGGUCCGAACCCACGAGCGUUGAAAAGCUCGGGGAUGACUUGUGGGUAGCGGUGAAAUUCCAAUCGAGCCCGGAGAUAGCUGGUUCUCCCCGAAAUAGCUUUAGGGCUAGCCUCAAGGUGAGAGAUACGGAGGUAGAGCACUGAAUGUCCUAGGGGGUAUUGCACCUACCGAAGACUAUCAAACUCCGAAUGCCGUCAUCUUAUACUUGGGAGUCAGACUGUGGGUGAUAAGAUUCAUAGUCGAAAGGGCAACAGCCCAGAUCGUCAGCUAAGGUCCCUAAAUGUAAGUUAAGUGGUAAAGGAUGUGGGAUUGCACAGACAACCAGGAUGUUGGCUUAGAAGCAGCCACUCAUUCAAAGAGUGCGUAAUAGCUCACUGGUCGAGUGAUCCUGCGCCGAAGAUUUCCGGGGCUAAAACUUACUACCGAAGCUACGGCAUCAGUAAUGAUGGGUAGGGGAGCUUCCCAUACGGGUUGAAGCAUGACCGUAAGGACAUGUGGACAGUAUGGGAGUGAGAAUGUUGGCAUGAGUAGCGAGAUGUGGGUGAGAAUCCCACAGGCCGUAAACCCAAGGUUUCCAGGGGAAGGUUCGUCCGCCCUGGGUUAGUCGGGACCUAAGCUGAGGCCGAAAGGCGUAGGUGAUGGACAACAGGUUGAUAUUCCUGUACUACCGAUAACCGUUUGAGAGAAGGGAUGACACAGUAGGAUAAGCUAAGCACACUGUUGGUUAUGUGUGCCCAAGCAUUGAGGCAGUCAAAGUAGGCAAAUCCGCUUUGAUAAUGCUGGGAUGUGAUGGGGAGCGAAAUUUAGUAGCGAAGUAGCUGAUUUCACACUGUCAAGAAAAGUCUCUAUCGAGGUUAAAGGUACCCGUACCGCAAACCGACACAGGUGGGUGAGGAGAGUAUCCUAAGGCCAGCGAGAGAACUGUUGUUAAGGAACUCGGCAAAAUGACCCCGUAACUUAGGGAUAAGGGGUGCCACCAUCAGGUGGCCGCAGAGAAUAGGCCCAAGCGACUGUUUACCAAAAACAUAGGUUUCUGCUAAGUCGCAAGACGAUGUAUAGGAGCUGACGCCUGCCCGGUGCUGGAAGGUUAAGGGGAUCUGUUAGAGCAAUCGAAGCAGUGAACUUAAGCCCCAGUAAACGGCGGCCGUAACUAUAACGGUCCUAAGGUAGCGAAAUUCCUUGUCGGGUAAGUUCCGACCCGCACGAAAGGCGUAACGAUUUGGGCACUGUCUCAACAACAGACUCGGUGAAAUUGUAAUUCCGGUGAAGAUGCCGGAUACCUGCGACAGGACGGAAAGACCCCAUGGAGCUUUACUGUAGCUUGACAUUGGGUUUUGGUACUACAUGUACAGGAUAGGUGGGAGGCUUUGAAACCAGGACGCCAGUUUUGGCGGAGCCAUCCUUGGGAUACCACCCUUGUAGUACUGGGACUCUAACCAUAGGCCAUGAAUCUGGUCUUGGGACACUGUCAGGUGGGCAGUUUGACUGGGGCGGUCGCCUCCCAAAAGGUAACGGAGGCGCUCAAAGGUUCUCUCAGUACGGUCGGAAAUCGUACGUAGAGUGUAAAGGCAAAAGGGAGCUUGAUUGCAAGACAUACAGGUCGAGCAAGGAUGAAAAUCGGACUUAGUGAUCCGGUGGUUCUGCGUGGAAGGGCCAUCGCUCAACGGAUAAAAGCUACCCUGGGGAUAACAGGCUUAUCUCCCCCAAGAGUCCACAUCGACGGGGAGGUUUGGCACCUCGAUGUCGGCUCAUCACAUCCUGGGGCUGUAGUAGGUCCCAAGGGUUGGGCUGUUCGCCCAUUAAAGUGGUACGCGAGCUGGGUUCAGAACGUCGUGAGACAGUUCGGUCCCUAUCCGUCGCAGGCGUAGGAAAUUUGAGAAGACCUGUCCUUAGUACGAGAGGACCGGGAUGGACGUACCUCUGGUGUACCAGUUGUUCUGCCAAGGGCAUGGCUGGGUAGCUAUGUACGGAAUGGAUAAGCGCUGAAAGCAUCUAAGCGCGAAGCCAACUUCAAGAUAAGAUUUCCCACCGUAAGGGUAAGACCCCAGAAAGACUAUCUGGUUGAUAGGUCGAAGGUGUAAGUGCAGCAAUGUAUUUAGCUUAUCGAUACUAAUAGGUCGAGGACUUGACCAA
rnacentral:rRNA from 1 species